rnacentral:lncRNA from 1 species
UUUGGGGGGUCCUGGGUGAUUUUGAGGGGCACUGGGUGACCCCCCUCUUUGUGACCCCCCCCAUCUGCAUCCCUCCAUCCCCCUCACCUCAGAUUUUAGGGGCUGAGUCCGGAGCAGCUGCAAGACCCCCCUGCCCGAGACCCUCAGAGAGCAGGAGGCCCUAUGGAGCAGGACGAGCCGGACGUGGUGGAGCUGCAGGACUCAGACGAGGGGGACGUGGUCCGGAGGGUCUUCAUUGCCGAUGAUGGCAUCGUGAGUGACGGUGAGGCCGAGGUGCUGCCACACGAGAUCAUCCGCACAGUGAUCCCGCACAGCCCCCUGCGUGCCCCACCGC